rnacentral:rRNA from 1 species
UACGUAGGGACCGAGCGUUGUCCGGAAUCAUUGGGCGUAAAGAGCGUGUAGGCGGCCACUUAAGUCCUGCGUGAAAUCUUGCGGCUCAACCGCAAGCGGUCGUGGGAAACUGGGUGGCUAGAGUACUGGAGAGGAGACUGGAAUUUACGGUGUAGCAGUGAAAUGCGCAGAUAUCAGGAGGAACACCAAUUGCGAAGGCAGCUCGCUGGGACGUUACUGACGCUGAGACGCGAAAGCGUGGGGAGCAAACAGG